CCUUGGGCAUAAUUAGGACUAGAAAUUGGUAGUUUUGCUGUAAAGCAGCUGACUUAACAAUAGACACUAUUUAAAAUAGACUUCAGUUAAAAUCUUUAUUAUUGACUCAGAUUGUUUACUUGAAAACUUCCUCACAGCUACGUGACAUUUUGCUUUGCUAAAUAUUAACGUGCACAGAUUUUAAGGGCUCCUUCCACUGGAGAAGUUACUCUAAAUGAUACAGCGACCAAGUAAAAAUUUGGAUUCAUUGAUAAAGAACAUCAAAGACUGUGUUAGGGAUAUGCAGGCUUUCAUCCAAGGACCAAGUCAAAAUACAGUAUGAAUUACUGGAAGCUCUGGAGCAGACCCUAUGGCAGUGCCUGAACCAGCGCCCAACUGGUCUGUGUAUGUCUCAAGAAUCAUGUUAUUUUCAAGUUAUCAGGGAGAAUAUGUACAUUGACACAUUCCUCACUCCCAGAAUAUGAAAUAAGCAGGAGAUUAGGAAUGUACAACCAGUUUUCUUCAAGUGGCUCCAUUUUUAUUCCACCUGGAAAUUUUGUCUGAGAAAAAAAAAAACAAAAAGAGGACUUUGAUUGUUGGGGAAAGCCAGAUGAUCCAGAGCAUGGAGCAGUUUCUCUGAUAAUGCAACAAAAUUACUGAAAAUCUUGGACAGCCAUUCAUAGACCUGUGUUGACUCUGCAUCCCGUGCUUAGAUUUCUCUGGGCUCACUGAGCUUGUAUCUAAGUCACUUGUGUAUAAGCACUAAUUACAACACACACAGAACGUGUCAGAUUCUGCUGGCAGUUUAUGUGCAGUUUGUCUGAUAUACAGGAUGUGCUGGAUGCACUCUCUGUACCACACAUGGUACAUAUGACUAUGUAUCCAUCCAAUGUUUUGUGAAAGAGUCCAGAGGGGAUGACCAGAGACAUACAAAAGAGUAAGAAACCUGGACAGCUUGCUGUGUAGGAAAAUUCAUGUAAAGUAGCAAAACUUUUGACUUUAUAAAAGGCAAAAUAAUAUAGGAAAAUACUAACAGCACUCCAUUUUCUUGAAAAGCACUCUUCAAAUGAUCUCUGAUGCUUCUUUAAAUUGAACUGGUUGAUAUACUAGCUUAGGAGAGGAAUUUGGCCAUUUACUCACAUUUCUUUUGUAAUUCUUAUCAACUAGCCUGGGUUCCAAAGGUAUGCAAAAAAAAUUUUGUUGAAGGUUAAACUGAUUUCAUGUAAACUAUAUGAAUUUUAGUAUUUAAUUAUCUUCCUUGGCGAAUUACAUUUCAACACUUACAAAAUGAGUAACUCUUCUGUGUUUUUAACCAUGUACCUCAUAGGAUAUGAUGGUUAUAGAAUGUGACAGUAUAUGGUCAUCAUGUGCCUGUAUAUCAUAGGAUUUUGACAUCUGUGAAUUGUAGUUUCUGUUGCUGCAAUAACAAAUAAAGCCAAAUAUGUUAAGAAA